CGUUCUGCUGUGCAGGCAGGCAUGGGCAGCUGUAAUAAAUCUGCACAAGUACAGCAAGCUGUGGGCUGUGGCCCGAGGUGAAGAUGGGGAAAGCCGAGUGAACAGUUGAUGGGAAGGAGUUGGACAGUGCGCAGGGUACAGCAAGGUAUGGUGCGGCAAACUUGCUCUGAAGCUCUGCAGGUUUGACGCGGAGACUAUCUCCGAGGCCAGAUCUUGAGGGCGGACCGACCGACCACUGGUAGCCACGGCAUGGGAUGACGGGAAUAAAGUGGAUUUUCAAUCUCACGAUGGUUCCCUGGAUCGUCUUCAUAUAUUUAUGAGAUCUCUAUAUUGAAUGGGUUCUUUCCUAGGAUAGUGCCGAGAUGGAAGCAUCGACCGUGCAAGACGUCAAAAACUCAUCUUCAGUUUUGGAGUGCACGGGUAAGAGGUAAGGGUGAUAAUAAGAACAAAAAGGGGAGGAAUGGACCAGAAAGCGGAGAAGAAAAAAGGCCGGGCAAGAAAUUUUCUCGGCCUUCAAUAUGAAAACCUGAGAACAAGUCCAAGACAUAAAAAAAGGCUCCCUGGCCAGGUCCUUCUGGCGUCCGACGACGAUGGUGACGUGGUCCUUGCCGUCGAUGACCCUGACCUGGGCGCGCGGGACCUUGGCCUUGACCGCGUGGCUGCACUGCACGGGGAGGAGCUCGUCGUCGCUGCCGUGGUAGACGGUGACGUCGCAGGCGAGCUGGUCCCUGACCACCUCGAGCCACCCGUCGAUCUUGCCCGCGCUGCCGCAGAUGAUG
rnacentral:misc_RNA from 1 species